UGGGGAAUUUUGGACAAUGGGGGAAACCCUGAUCCAGCCAUCCCGCGUGUGCGAUGAAGGCCUUCGGGUUGUAAAGCACUUUUGGCAGGAAAGAAACGUCAUGGGUUAAUACCCCGUGAAACUGACGGUACCUGCAGAAUAAGCACCGGCUAACUACGUGCCAGCAGCCGCGGUAAUACGUAGGGUGCAAGCGUUAAUCGGAAUUCUGGGCGUAAAGCGUGCGCAGGCGGUUCGGAAAGAAAGAUGUGAAAUCCCAGAGCUCAACUUUGGAACUGCAUUUUUAACUACCGGGCUAGAGUGUGUCAGAGGGAGGUGGAAUUCCGCGUGUAGCAGUGAAAUGCGUAGAUAUGCGGAGGAACACCGAUGGCGAAGGCAGCCUCCUGGGAUAACACUGACGCUCAUGCACGAAAGCGUGGGGAGCAAACAGG
rnacentral:rRNA from 1 species